GACUACUGGGGUAUCUAAGCCUGUUUGCUCCCCACGCUUUCGCGCCUCAGCGUCAGUUGUCGUCCAGUAAUCCGCCUUCGCCACUGGUGUUCUUCCUAAUAUCUACGCAUUUCACCGCUACACUAGGAAUUCCGAUUACCUCUCCGAUACUCAAGAAAAGCAGUUUCAAAUGCAGUUCGUGGGUUAAGCCCACGGAUUUCACAUCUGACUUGCCUUCCCGGCUGCACGCCCUUUACACCCAGUAAAUCCGGACAACGCUUGCCACCUACGUAUUACCGCGGCUGCUGGCACGUAGUUAGCCGUGGCUUGUUUUCAGGGUACCGUCUUCUACUCUUCCCCUGUCAAAGAAGUUUACAACCCGAAAGCCUUCUUCCUUCACGCGGCGUUGCUGGGUCAGGCUUUCGCCCAUUGCCCAAUAUUCCCCACUGCAGCCCCCCGUAGG
rnacentral:rRNA from 1 species